rnacentral:rRNA from 1 species
GACGAACGCUGGCGGCGUGCUUAAAACAUGCAAGUCGAACGGGGACCAUCCACUCCUUCGGGAGUGGUGAAGUCCGAGUGGCGAACGGGUGCGUAACACGUGAGGAACCUGCCCCAGAGACCGGGAUAACCCUCCGAAAGGAGGGCUAAUACCGGAUGUGCUCACCGAGUCGCAUGGCUUGGUGAGGAAAUGGAUUCCGCUCUGGGAUGGCCUCGCGGCCUAUCAGCUUGUUGGUGGGGUAACGGCCCAACAAGGCGACGACGGGUAGCUGGUCUGAGAGGACGAUCAGCCACACUGGGACUGAGACACGGCCCAGACUCCUACGGGAGGCAGCAGUUAGGAAUCUUGCGCAAUGGGCGAAAGCCUGACGCAGCAACGCCGCGUGAGGGAUGAAGGCUCUCGGGUUGUAAACCUCUUUCAGCAGGGACGAUUGUGACGGUACCUGCAGAAGAAGGACCGGCCAACUACGUGCCAGCAGCCGCAGUAAGAC